GGAAGUAAAAGUCGUUAACAAGGUUUCCGUAGGUGAACCUGCGGAAGGAUCAUUAUUGGAUUUUGAAACUUCAGGCUGCUGCUGGCUCUCCUCGGAGGGCAUGUGCACGCUUGUUGUCCAUUAUUUCUCCCACUGUGCACAAAUUGUAGACCUUUCAGUAGGCCUAUGUUGUUCUUCACAAUCUCUGAAUGUAAUAGAAUGGUUUUGAAUCUUGGGAAAUACAAUACAACUUUCAGCAACGGAUCUCUUGGCUCUC
rnacentral:misc_RNA from 1 species